rnacentral:pre_miRNA from 1 species
ACACAGGUCACUUAGGCAUCUUGUUAAAAUGGAUAUUCUGAUUCAGUAGGUCUAGGGUGGGGCCUGAGAUUCUGCUUUUCUAACAAGCUCUCAGGUGAUGCCAAU